rnacentral:rRNA from 1 species
UACUUAGUGGCGGACGGGUGAGUAACGCGUGGGCAACCCGCCCCGUGCCGGGGGAUACCGCCUGGAAACAGGCGCUAAUACCGCAUAAGCGCAUACAGCCGCAUGGCAGUAUGCGGAAAGCUCCGGCGGCACGGGAUGGGCCCGCGCCCGAUUAGCCAGUUGGCGGGGUAACGGCCCACCAAAGCGACGAUCGGUAGCCGGCCUGAGAGGGCGGACGGCCACAUUGGGACUGAGACACGGCCCAAACUCCUACGGGAGGCAGCAG